GUUGUUGGGCAGGAUACAUGAAGACUUAAGGCAGAAGACAAACCAAGCAGCUGAUCUAAGAGACUCAAAUUCAAGAGGGUAUGAACAAGUGGAUUUAAAACAACUUUCAGAUAACGGUGCCGGAUUACAAGUACACGGAGUGCGGCAAACGAGAGGGAAAUGUAUGGGCAGGUUUGGGCCUUACAUGCUUAACUGCAAAAGGAGCGGGCCAACGAUUUAACAAAAAUAUUUAUUUGGUAAUCACCAUUAAAAUAUCUAUUGAAAAAGAAAGUUUUAAAAAAUCACAAGAAAAACAAAUAUUUUCUUUCUCCCUUUAGUUAUGUUCAUUUUUUCAUCCAUUUGUAUUUUUGGUCAUAUUUCUCAAUUGGCUUAUUCAGCAACUUGUAUAAAAAGCAGAUUUUUAAUAUUUACUUUCAAUUCAAGCAAUGAGUAGCUUAUUAGGCUUUUACUAGGUCUGUAGUAGAGUAUUGAUUUGAACGACGGCGGGGGGGGGGGGGGUGCUGGGAUUUUUCUGGUUUUGUUCUUUCAGUCCAGUAAAAUCCCGCCUAACUCGUGAAAAUCAUCCCACGCCACCUUUGCAGGGCAUUAAAAACAAUGUUUUUUGUUUGUUUUAUAUUUCAUCAGGCAUAAAAAAAAUUAUUUACUGAAUAUAAUUUUACAUUGAUAGUAAUUAUACAUGGUACGAACUAAGCAUACAUAAAAUGUGUUUUAAGGGCAGAGUCCAUCAUAUAACAUCUAACGUAUAAGUAAAUUGUUUAACCAAAACAUGGCUCGAAAAUAAACAUUCAUAAAAACCAGAAGAAAAAAAAUGAAUAGUAAAAAAAAUAAGAUCAUGCCUCUAUUGCAAAUUAAGAUGAAGACAUUAUUUGCAUCUUGAAUAAAAUAGAAAACAUAUUCAUGCACCUCAAUUAUGAAGAGUACUUUGGAGAAAUAUAAUUCACGGUAUUUGGAGACAAAUAAGUCCUUCAUAUACUUCUUGAGUUGUAAAAUGUAUUACAAAUUCGUAUAUUUAAAGUUAGUGAAUUCCAAAUUUAGGUCCUUUACAUUUUAUUAAUUUGUGGGCUAGGCCACUUCUCGGAGUGAAUAAAUGAAAAUCAAAUGAUUGCCUAGUUGGAUGUCUAUAAAUGUCUACAUUCAAAGUAAAGUAACCACAAAACGAUAAAAGUAACUGAUUUUUGGUUAAGCGAUACAUAAAAACUGCAAUUGGCAUUUCAUGAAUAUAGUUUUUUUUCAGUGUUUUAAGUCAGAAAAAUACAGGAUCAGCAUGGUCAAAUGUCCAGUAUAUUAAAGGAAACUCUGGUUUUAUUUAACGUGAAUAGGCCAUGGCAUGUACGUGUGCUACAUUAUAAUAAGUACAUAUCAAAUUUUGUUUCCCGACAACUGUUCGUAAUUUAUUUGAUGGUGAAGUAAAUAUUGUAGUUUUUAUAUCAUAGUUUUAGGGUAAUUUUCAUUGAUAAAUUGUACGUCGAAUGUUUAUGAUUUGAUGAUAUUUUUCGUUACCCAGAACUAAAGUCGAGUUCGAAAAAAUGAGCACAAUGUAAUUUUAUUGCCAAAGUAUGAUAUGAUAUGCCAUACUUAUGGAUAAUCAUGAUAAUUUUGUUUUUAUUCCACUUGCCUCCUUGAACACCUUCUUAUUCUGUCUCCAUAUUCGACCCGAUCUAAUUACACCAGAUCCACCAUUGCGUUUUAAUUGAUGCGGGUUUUUAUCCAAAUGGAAAAUUUACUCACGUAUUUUAGCAUUCUAAGUUCACUUUAGAGACGAAAACUUUCUCUUUUUAGAUUGAUUUCAUAUUGUUUUCUCCGCCAAAUCACGUUUGUUAUAUUGAUCAAAAUAGUUUAUAGGUAUAUCUGUCUAUUUGUAAAUGGUAUACGAUUUGCUUUAGUUCUGUAAAGAUACAAGUAUUUCAUUUUACUUGCAAACCAACAACAUGCAAAGAAAGAGUCCUCCUCUUCUAUACAUCUUUGGAAUCUGGGAGGAAUUGUUUAUUAUUGAUUGCAUGAUGCAGAUGCUAUACAUAGAUCGUGUUGAAUUUAUUUUAAAGCUGGUGUGAGCUUGAAAUAAUCAACGCCCUCUGUCGUUUCUGUUAGCAAGCUGUCUGUAGACGUAAUAGAUCGAGCGAACAGGUGAUCUAGGCCAGCGUCAGUUCAGCUUGGCGUUUCAUAUUCCGCUUGCUUGCCGUAUUCAUCAUUCUCUUUUUUUUACAGUACGAUUAACCACAAACUAGGUCGCGCCCCAGAAUUGUAAAUAUUUCCGAUUUUCCCCGAAUAAGGCUUCGGGGAAGUUCGUCAUCUUGCACCCCUUUUAAAGCAUUGUAGUUGCACACACACACACUCAAACACAAUUUUGCAUCGUUUGAAAUACAUUUGUCUUUUAUUGUAAGAUUCAAGACUAUUUCUAUGAUCAUUUUGAUUGCAUAUUAUUCACAUUAUAUUAUGAUAUAUUUUUGUCUAAUCUAAUUUUUUUUUAAUUUUCAACUAAAUAUUAUUAAAACGUCACGAAGUCCACAUAUAGUACUCUUAUUGAUAUGUAAAUAUCAAAAAAAAAUGUUUUAGUGUAGUAUUACAGCGUUUUACAUUCGGUAUGGAAUGAUAAUCCAAAUCCAGUUAAUCGGUGGUGGCACCAGGAUGGUAUUGCGGCAUGGGAGAGGGGGUUACCCACCCCACCCCUCCGAUUAACUCCUGAUUUUACUGACCUUCACAGUAAAAAAAAAUAGCACGUUGUUUAAACCUGUCACUCUAACAACAAGUUGUUUAAACUACUUUGUAAUUGUUUAAACUGUUUAGACAACUUGUUUAAAAAAAGUUUAAACAAUAGUUGUUACACUGUAAAAACUUUGGUGUUAAAACUGAUACCAUUUGGGGUUAAUAGAGGACCACACCCUGAGGUGUUAAAAUUACACACUAGAGAUUGAACAUAACACCAAAGAGUGUAAAUGUAAUAACCAAAGGUGUUGUAUAACACCUAUAUGUGUUAAAUUAACACUGUCAAUCUAAAACCCGGUGUAAAAUAACUGGUGUGGUCCUCUAUGUACAUCGGCUAACACCACAUUUUUUUGCUGUGUAGAGUGACGGGCUUUUACAGUGUACACAAUUCGUUGGGGCCGGAAUGUUCUACUCAGACACAGCGCGUUUCGUCAAAUCAAUUUACGUCAUCAUCAUUUUUCUCUAUAUUAUGCCCCCCCAUACGCAUUUUGAACAUCCUGAUGCCGCCUCUAGGUUUGAGCAUUCUGACAUUAUAUAUCUGUAUAAAAAUAUAUAUUAAAGAUGGAAAUCAUUCUUAAAAUA